GUGUGGGUCAUUCCAGCUCAUAACACCUCAGCUAUAAUUCUUCAUUCUAUCAGUGACUCCUUUUGUCACCUUGAUGAAAUCACUGAAACUUCUGUUUCCCCUUUGUAAAAUAGGAGGGUGGGCUUCCAAUAAAGCCAAACCACCUGGGACAGGGCAAGAGAAAACAGCCUGUGCUCAUUAUCUAGGAUUUCUCAGAGGCCAAGAUCUGCACUCUGACUCCUGAAGCCAUUUUAGGUGUGGGCAUUUCACAGCUAUUCUCUGUUUACCUUGCUCUGAGGAUACCAGAUGACUUACCAAAAGGCAAUGGACAGCAACUCCACCUGCAACUCUAUCAAUAAACUGUUCUAGUCAAAUUAAAACCAAUAACCCCAGAAUGCCUCACCAGAAAAUCUUUUCUGCUUUACUUACAGAAAACUGUUUGGAAGAACUACUAAACAGAACCUUUUUCCUCUAAGUUUUGCAUUUCCAAAAUUUUAUUACCUAUUGUCCUAAAUAAGUGACUUUGUUGUAGAAGUAGGAAUAGAUUUUUUUUUUUUUCAACCCUGAUGUAAGAUAUUUGGUCUCUCUUGUGCUUCACAGGAAAUUCCCAAUUUUUAAUAAAAAGAGCUUACUUAUGCUUAA